UGGACUCCCACCCACCUCUUCAUACCUGCCUCCCCCACCCCGCUGCUAGCUGUCCAGCCUCUUCCGGCUUCACCCUCACCCUCUCUAGCAUAUGAUGACUAACCAGGUGAUGCUUGACAAACCAGUGCUUCUGUUUACUUUGCUGACGGUGCUUGAAAUUCUUGUGCACGAUAACAGCACCUGCGACUCGGUGAUGUGACAAGACGCCAUAGUGUAUGUGUGGCUAAUGCUUGGCCAACUUCUUGAAGGCAAAAAUAAGACAUCAACAAAUUGAAGAGGCUUGCUCAAAAGCACCACAUAAAAGACUUGGAUUUAUGGUGUCUGUACGAUUGCUUUGGACAGUGGAAUAUAGUCAGUGACAUAAUACAAUUGUGACAGUGACAAUAGGUGAAGAAAUGUUGUACACGCCAAAGGUGCAAGAUCAGACUUGCCUUAAGGUCCUUUCCUUAUCAAAACACAUCCUUAAAUAUUCCAUUUAAUCCCGAGCGUGCUGAUCUUGCACAUGAGGUCUAAAUCAGAGCAUCAAACCAUGUGCAAUUCUGAUCUUGCAUUUUUUCGAUACAACAACGCGUUGAUCUGAAAAUCGUGUUCUCUGGUACCUCCAGGCCUCUUGGACUCAAUCAGGAGGGAAUUGUUUGUUUCAUUACAUGAGUUUGUUAAUACAAAAGUGUAUCUGUUUCAUUUGAAACCUUUAAGUGCCAUCAUGUCAAAUUUAUGUCCGUCAAGCAUUCGUUCCCCUUUGUACAACAGUCUAUAUCAUCUCUGAAGAGUUUAUGCAAACUACACGAGGUUUUAGAUUUCUUCACUAUAUCCUUUCACUCAUCAGAUUUAUUUUAUCCGACAAUGCACCGUAUUGUACAUGUAAUCAUAGAGCAUUAGAGAGUUUUUUGGCCAGCCAGAGAUAAAAGACACAGGAUCAAAGCAUUGCUAUCCCUCAUCACGACCGGUUUAACGUGCAUAUUGAUUUCAAGACAGAAACGUCCAUUAAUAACUCUGAAAAUUCGUCUUUUAGUAUUUACACAGGAAUCCAUUGAGGAUAUUGAUGAUGGUUUUGGAUAUUUUUAUCUGAACAUCUACGGUAAUAUUAAAAAGUUUAAGUGCUCAUGAGAAGUAAUAUUAUUCACAGUUAAGUAUCCAGAAAAGGCUUAAAUGACACUGAAGAGGUUUAGUACUCGCUUCAAAGCCAAAAAGCAUCCAGUUGUUAUUAUGGAAAACAUGUCUUACUUACUUGAAGAUGAGGCGUUUUUCUUCGCCCACAGCAUAACACACGUUGUAAAAACGAGCAAUAUCUCCCUAUUUCCUUUUCUUGUCAUGCAAUAGGUAUGUUCAGAUGUUUGCAAACGCUGACGCUAAUGUGCUCAUGAAACCUGAUAGCUCUGAAAAGAUGUUCUUGAAGCAAACAAGUUUAACGUAUUUUGUCGAUCUGAAAAUAACACAUUACUUACGUUUUUCUGUAACAGUUGUCACUGUUGUUACCGUAGCAACGGUUUGUUCAUUAAAGAAAGAUGUAUAGAUUUACACAACAUGAAUUACAUAUUUUAUGAGACAGUAGGGAAGAUAUUAGAUAUUAAGCAGUCAUAAUUUCUCUCAAGACAGAUGCUUGUGGAUAUUGAGAAAAUGCUAUUACGAUGUUCUAAGUGAUGGCAGAUUAAAAGUAUACGUUAGUAUCAAUUGUACCUUUGUAUGUUUGUACUUAUAUUCUCAUUUAUGCCGCGUUUCUUUUAUUUAGUCCUUUGUAUUGAACAAUUCGAUCAGACAAUAUCCCAUGUAUUUGUAUGUCAGUAUGACUGUGCUGUCUCAAUUACUGCUCAUGUGAUGUUUAUAUGAUGAGAUGUCGGCACGAUGAUGCAGGAUGCUACAUGGCGAUUAGGUGGUGGGCUGUUCCACUGUGUCCGCCAGAUGGCGUGGUGUUACAUCUGACCAACAGGUGGCAGGGUGUUACAUCUGACCGUCAGGUGGCGCGUUACAAGGUGACCACAAGGUGGCAGGGUGUUACAUGGUGACCAACAGGUGACGGGGUUUUACAUAUAACCAACAGGUGGCGUGGUGUUACAUCUGACCACCAGGUCGCAGCGUAUUACAUCUAACCACCAGGUGACAUGGUUUUACAUCUGACCAACAUAUGGCGUGGUGUUACAUGGUGACCACCAGAUGACAGGGUUUUACAGGGUGACUAUCGUAUGGCAACGUCACAGGUUGUUAUACUACAACCAUCAGGAGGGUAUUUGGGUGUCAGGUGGUGACUGCAAGGUGGGGGUUGUUACGUGGUGGCCAUCAGCCGGCGUGGUUGUUGCAUGCCAUCGGGGAGGAGUGCACCGUAACAUGGAUGUGUGAUGGGGCGCGCUGUAACAUGUCGUCGGCUGGGAGGUUCACCGUAACAUUGCUGCCUGCGGAGAGAGGAAGGGGUGGAUGGGAGAAAGGUGGAGGGGUACACCGUAACAUUCUGCAUGCUGGGAGGUGCACCGUAACAUUCCUCCCGCUUGGUUGGGCACUCGUAUCAUUCUGUCUGUCAUUUGAGAUUCCGUGACAUGAUGACUUCUCUGUGGUAUGUUGUGACAUACCGCCCUUGAGAGAUUUCAAAAUUGACUUCUAAAUCAACGAUACGGAUGUCUGCAUGAAUAAAUAAAAUGUCUGCAAACGUUGACAUAUGUGCACAUGUUCACAGACAGCUUUGGUGUCACAUGUUUCACAUGUUGAGGCAUCAUAUCAAAUCCGUGCUGGAACAUGUACAAGAGACAAGACAGAUAUGGUCCAGGGUGAUCAAGAUGUCGCGAACCUGGCUGUAUUCGGUUAAAGUGGUUAAAACGUCCACCCCUACCAGAGAUCCUAGGUAAUACGAUGGUGAUAACCAUUGUACCCCUCUCAACCAACACGGGGCGGUCGGGUAGCCUGGUGGUUAAAGCGUUCGCUCGUCACACCGAAGACCCGGGUUCGAUUUCCCACAUGGGUACAACGUGUGAAGCCAAUUUCUGGUGUCUCCCGUCGUGAUAUUGCUGGAAAAUUGCUAAAAGCGGCGUAAAACUAAACACUUACUCACUCACUCAACCAACACGCACUAUUCAUGACCUCUGCAAUUCCCCAACCCUUCUCCCAACGCUCUUCAUGCCAACCCAUUGUUCCUCCCCUCCUCCUCCCCUCCCUCCCCAACCACCACACGCCAUGGUUCGCCUGUAUCCACCUUUGUCUGCUUGAACGGGAGGAGUUGGUUUUGGAAAGUGGUGGGAAUAAACAGUAAACAUCA
rnacentral:misc_RNA from 1 species